rnacentral:lncRNA from 1 species
GUUCAAAACCCAACCAAUUUAUUACUUUCUUUGUAGCACCUGAUGACAAAUGAUUCCAUGGACUAGCAGCAUCUCUCAUCAGACCCUGAUAGCAUUGCUUACUCCUUAUCAGCAUAAAAAGGAAGUGUUAGGAGCUGCUCUUAACCUUUUUGGAGUCCGAAGUCAAAAGACUGUAUCGGCUUCCCUCCAAUCCUCCGUUUGGAAGCUUGUUAGGAGAGUGAAUGCUGCUGUGAACAGGCAAAUUCUAAUGAGGAAGUGGCGGGAACUAGAGGGCUUGACACAUCCUUUACAUCCUGCAUUUACUCUGACCACAGUCCCUGCCUGUUCUCACAAGUGGAGCUCAACCCUGCUUCCCUUCCUGUUGAUUCCCAGUCAGCUACAUGGGAUCAGGAUUUUCAACACAAAAUCAUUCCUUUUUCAUUUCAGAGGAAAGGAAAUUACAGCAACUUUUGUGAAGAUAAAGGAAAAAACUUCAAAUUUUUGAGGAGGAAAAAUGCUUCCUGCCUGGCUCCAGUUGGACACCCCUGUUGAACAUUGCAAGCUGCAAUCAAACUGAGCUGUAGAGCUGGUUCAGAGUUUGCAGUGCGAGUCCCCGCUCAGCGAUGAGAAUGAGAUUUGAAUAUUCUGCGGUGGUGGUACAUCUGGGUUUAGGUCUAAUCACCUUCUGAAACAAUCCACUCUAACACAGUACAACUAUCAGAAGUAUCUACAUUACUGGUAAUAUUCACACAUACAAAAACACUCUCCUUCUCUAGAAAGCUGAAAGGGAGCUUGCUUUGUGUAAUUAUUUAAGGGCACAGUACAGACCAAGAGGUAACAUGUGGGACAACUUCUCAGUGGCCUUCAUUUAAGUUCAUUAGCUAACUCCUGUGCAAUGCCUAGCUAUGCAGCCUGUUGUGGGUACUGCAGAUCUGUGUAAUCUCUGGCUCGUAGCCAUGAACUAGCCCUUCCCUGCCUUUCUUAAAACAACACAUGCAAAUGCUAUCCAACCGUUUAUUUUAUUCAUGUAAAUUUUUGCCCAUGCAAAUUCCAACCACAGAGUUCCUUCAUAACACACGAAGAAGAGGUUGAGAUGUUCUUUUAAAUGGAAAAAAAACAACAGUAAUAGCUAAGUAGUGCCAUCUUUUUUUUUCCUUUCCCUCUUUAAUCAAACCAACGUUGCUCAGACUUCAGUGAGACUUCUGCAUCAGUGAGGCCGUCAGGAUUUGUCCCAACAGGUGUUAACUCUUCUCAGCCCUAAAGGGAGCUUUCUUUGUGUCCUGGUGUCCUCCUCUUAGAGGGACCAAUGGGGGCAGGAAACUGGGAGGUUAGGACAGGCUGUUGGAGAACCUGCGCUGGCAUCAGCUGUCCAUCACUGGCAGGGAGCUGCUAGUUGACAUUUGAGAGAAUGCGCUUUACAUGAGCAAGUGAUGAGUGAAUGGAAAUUAAAACAAAAGGAUUGAAAACAGAGCUGUAAUCAAUCUAGCCUGGUCUCAAGAAACCGG